rnacentral:lncRNA from 1 species
GCGGCGGGAGCGGGCGGGCCGAGCGUGGGGACCGCCCCGGCGCGGGGCGCAGCCAACGAGCGCACGGGGAGGGCGGGGAGGGCGGAGCGCGCGGGCUGGCACAGGCGGCGGCGCGCGCUGCAGGUGGCAACUUGGGGGUGCCGCCACCACCGCUGCGGGCCGAGCCCGGGUCUGGCGGCCCUUUCCAGCCUCGGGCGGCCCCUUCCCGCCGCCAAACCCGAGACUAGACCCGGGGAAUCCGAAGGAAAGAGCCGCGGCGCAGGGGACCUGUGAGCAGCCCUUACCCCUCCUCUGCCCUUGCGCUACUUUUUUUCUUCAAGGAAGGUUGUGCCUGGGGGCUGAGAACAGGCUCCAGGAGGCGCCGGAGAGGAAGGCUCCCGGUGACCCAGCAACUUUCUCCUCAACCUCAACCAGUGUCUUGUCAGUGGGGCAGUUUCUAGAAAGGAGGGAACACUUGUCAUCAUGCUUAGUAUGGGGUAAGUUACCACCAGUUGUUGAAUGAUUCCUAAACUAUGUUUUCUUCUCUGUUUUGCUCACCCUCCCUGUCUCACUGCCUCUCGGAACGUGGAACGUGGACUUGCCCAUCAUCUGGAAAAAAUGUUGUCUCUGGGCCUUGGGACGUGGAAAAUGUGGAAAAUCUCCUCUGUCAUCACAGAAGAGCACCCACUCCUGAGUGCUGUUCCUCUACUCCUGUUAGUUUUGCUUCUGUAAAUCAUUUAUAGUAGCAGAGUAAUAAUGUGAAUUUAGUAAAUAGCUUGCAAAGGAGAAAAG